UGCAGCGGGUGUCAAUUUAGCAGGCCUAGUGAAGAUCGGCAAAAUCGAUGGCAGAGCGGUCUCUGGUUGACUCUGGUACUCCAGCUCCCCAAGAACAGUAAGGCUCAUCUUUUGGAGGUGUUGUAAAGGUUUCCUUUGAGAAUGAGGACUGAUAGGUCAACUAUGGAAUUAUCAUUUCUUAAAAGUGUUCACUCAUGUGACAAUGAGCUGCCUGUCUUCCACUACUGCGGUGUUCUACUCCUCUGGGAUUCUGAAGCAACUGAGAGACAGUUGAGGCUGCUCCACUCUUUAUGCCUUCGGGUCGGGACAGGGAGUGAAGAUAUCUGGUAUCCAUACAAAAUCAAAAUAAUGCUGGCCAAAAUAAUUUGAUGAUAAUCUGAUCUUGCAUACAUGGGGUGCUUGAGAAUCAGGAGUGGAAUCCAUGUGGACAUCACAGCUCUGAGAACUACAGUUACUGUAAGAUUUCACUUUGAAAUCCUACUCAUUGGUGCUGUCCUGUACGUGCAGACAACAAGCAUAACCAAGCCUUAGUGUGGUGAGUAACAAUAUAGCUGUAACCAGCAUGGAGGCAAGAGAGGAAUGUCUCGAUUAAAGAGUGGCCAGAGCGUACUGGUGAAUCUUGCCUUCUGAAUUACUUGGGUACACAAAAUUUGGCUGGACAUAUCAUGAGAAGAGGGAUCCUUCUGAGAUUUUUGGCACUGCUUGCUGUCGUGAGUUAUUUUGGCACUAGUUUGUGGUUCCAGGCAGAACCUGUCCAGAGGUGUCAAGAUAUAACUGAUAUGAAAAUUCUUCUUCUUCCUGUGGCCAACUCGUUUGCUAAAACACUUAAGAAAUCUGAUAAAACACCUGUUGUUCAGGACCUCUGCCUCAUUCAGUGCACCAGAUGGACCUGCUCACAGGAUGAAUCAGGGAUGUGUGGUUUUCAUGGUCUCUGGAAUUUUGCAGUACUUUUGCCAUAGUCCACUCCCAAUCACCAUGGUAUUUAGAUUCUAAAUUAAAACCCUCUUCUGAGCCUUGUAAUGAUGCUGACUUCCUGUUUGAAUGCUGACACCAAUGAUAGGACAGGCUUUUUCUCCAGCAUUUUACAUCAUCACCUUUGAGGCAAUAUUGGACACAGUCAAAGGAAGCAGUAGGACAUGUACAGAGCUUUCAAUUCAAGGUCAUUCUGAACCCUCUAACCCGUAAAAAAUAAAAAUAGAGAGAACUGCCUUCCAGGCCUGGCUUUUUCCACUGCUCUGGAUUCUGUCCUUAAUGAAAUCUUAAAAUAAUGAGGCAUAACUUUUAUUAUAAACAUUAUUAAAAAGCAGUUUCUAAAACUUCAGGGCUAUGCAGCUGGUUUAUAGUAGGUUAUAUGGUAUAAAUAAUUUUCAAUAAUAACAUAAAUAUAAUAUUAAGUUUAUGUGGAUCUAUGUAUUCUGAACUAAAAUAGAGGAUUACUGAGAACUUUGCCCACAUGACCUUGGAACUAUGACCUUUCCUUUUCUGUGAUUUUUUUCCCCCUUCUGGUUUAUUUUUAGUCUGAAGUGAGCUAUGGUCCAGGAAGCCAGCAUAGCUUGGGAUAUUGUGUCCAACAUAGGUAAAAAAACAACAACCCCAUGGCAGUAUGAAAUGUGGGACA